GUGAAGAGCUCAUACGAUAACGGUGUUCACCAUCGCCUCUUACGUGCUUGAACGUUGCAGAUGCAGGGAUCUCCAUACGGUCACCAUCAACUACAGCCACCGCCGCAGCAGGGCCGCCAAUCGGCUACUGCUGAAGCGGUCGAUGUCCCCUACAGCGAUGCGAACAUAGCGACGGUGCUGUCGCUGUCGCCCUUCUCAGAGUUUUGCAAGUUGCGUGAUAAGUGGGCCGCCAAGCCGCUGAUCCGCGGCCGCUAUGUCGGCAUGUGCGGCGGCGACCCGGCGCAGCGGGAGCGGCGCGAAGACUUCGAGUACAUCACGCUCAGCGCCUCACCCUCGGCAUCUUCCCAUGCCUUUGGCGGCAGUGCACAUCGGAGCGCCAUGUGGGGGCAAGUAGAGGCGUACAGCCGAUCCGCAGCAGGCAAGACGAUUGAUCCGGCCCAGCAGCGGACGCCGCUGGCGCUGGAGAAGUCGAUGCACUUUCUUGUCGAGCACUACCUGCGCGUGCCGCACACGCCCCUCGUCUACACGGAGCCUUUCCGCAUUUGGGGCUACCUAUGGGACCGGUUUCGCGGUAUCCGCACGACGUGGGGUCCUCAGCUGCCCCCGAGCAACGUUAGCCUUCAGGGAUACGUGGACAGCGAAACGGGUCGCACGCUCUCCGUGGAAGAGCUGCACCGCGAGAGCUACCGUCGCGUGCGCUGGCUCGAGUUCACCGUCGCCGCACUCGCCGUGGGCGGGGCGUACCUCUGCUGCUCCCCCGAAGGCUGCCAGCGGUUCAUGCAAGACAAGAAGCAGUUCCUCGAGUCCAUGUCACAGUGCUUCACCGACCUCACCGUCUUCUACCGGGCAGAGCAGCGGCACCGCAACGCCGAGUUCUUCUCUGUGCUGCUGCUGCUCUACGGCCUGCAACAGGAGAUGAAGGUCGAGGACCGCUCGUCGUUCUGCCGCUUCCACACGGUCAUCGUGAACGGCGAGCCUCGCCUGUGUCCAGAGAACGCGUCGGAAAGUGUCAACCUUGCGCAGGUGUACCGAGAGCUGGAGAAGCAGCCGCACAUGCUCGAGACGCAGCCGGUGCGGGUGGCCCUUGAGCUCAUUCACUUCUGGGCGGCGCGGCAGUGGUUUCAGUUCUUCGAAUUCUGCAAGUCUGCCCCCAUGACACCGCUGCAGCGCGCUGUCGUCUUUCAGUCCUUCACCUACGGUCGCUACCGCGCGGUGCUGGAUCUCGUGUUGCCCAACUACUACGUCUAUCCAAAACUGCGCGUGCGACAUGCCAUCCUGGUUGCCGAGUUGGCCGACCAGCUCAUGAUGGGCCACGAUCAUUGCCUCGAGUUCCUGAAGCGGAUGGGCCUUGACGCUCAACUCGAGUGCAAGACUCCGCACCAGCUGCAACAGCAAGCGGCAAGCUCCUUCUACCCCAUCGCGUCACCAACGUCCAGCCCCACGGCUGCCACCGUCGCAGGAGCCUCAGCGAGUGGUGCUAAAGCCGGCUGGUACCUGAACCUGUGCCACCCGAACUCGGACCCUCUCAUCACGGCGGAUGAGCUCGAGAAGAGGUGCGUUAACAAGCGGGUUCUCUUCUUCCCCACGCACCCCGCCUUCUUUGGGUUUCGCGUCUCUCACGUGGCGUACGAGCGGUUCCCAGACGCGAAGGGCUUUCCAACCGCCGGCACCGAAGACGUCUGUGAUGCGCUUGCGGUGGCCGGAAGCAGCUCCCCAGUCGGCCGCGGCGCCGUGCGAUCCCCAUCGGGUCUUCAGGGCCGCGUCGUAACGCGGUCAAAGCCGGGUACGUUGCCGAGGAGGCGUUUGGGGUUGGCAAGCCGCGGCGACUACGGGGACGGUGAUGAGGACUACUACUUCGAUGAGUACUGCCACGACGGCAGUAACGACGAAGAGUGCGAGAGGGAUGACGGUAGCGGUAGCGAUGACGGCGGUGCCCACCGGAACACGGGCGAUGGCUGCGACUCGCCACCGCAGCGGCAAUCAACGGUGUCUCCUCCCUCUGCGAUGUCGCCCUCCUUGGACAAGGAAGCGGCUCUGCUUGGCCAGCUUGGGUGCCCCGUCAACCUGAUGGAGGUGUUGGAGGUCUACUGCCCACCCUACAACAGCGAAGUUGCCGCGCUGCGGCUGUCGGACGCCAGCGAGGAGCUGUUUGCGUCGCUGCCGGCGCACCGCGCGGAAAUGCUGCUCCGCUGCCGCCACGCGCACCUGCGAGCCCGACACUGGCAAAGGGCAUCAGCGCGUGACGCUGACACGGCGGCGGCGGUGUCCGAGGAGGAGGCGCUGUACUGGGCAGAGAAGAUGGAGAUGGAGUCCGUCUCCACGGCGAGCAGCCUCUUCGACGGCAGCGAUCACGAUGAUGUGGACGACGACGAGCGAGAGGGACAUGACGUCGAUGCGGCAGCGGCGCAUCGCGCUGCAGUCGCGGACGUGUCGUUGUCAUCGCAGGCCGACGCUCUCCCGCCAGCAGUCAUCGAAGCCCGGCAGCUGCUCACCGCUAUCCGGGAUAACCCACUCUACGCGGCAGCCGCAGCAGACCGCGCGGAGGCGGAGGAUAAGGCUCGGCGAGGAAAGCAGGAAGAGGCCGACGCGCGAAGAGGGGCAACCACCGCAGAGACAGCUCGAAGCGACCAACCGCAGCGGGCGCUGGCACUGACCGAGACGGGUCAAUGCACUGUCGCUCCCCUACCAGACAACGGCAACGAUGAGGCCGGCCAGCGCUGCAAGUCGCAGAACCCACGUGUUGCUGUAGAGCCGCCAACGACGCUGCCGACUCGGAGCCUAGUGGACAUGAUUGGAAACGAUGCUGAUGCGCAGGCGGUUACAGAGGGCAGUUCGAGGGGCCCCCGAGAUGCGAGCGCGACGCAUCAGGAGCGGCAGCAAAGUAUGGACCAGGAAGACUCAGCCACGACGGUGGAGACGCACCGGCAUCUGCAGCCACAGAAGCCAGCGUCCCCAUCACCUCCACUGUCGAUGCCGACGCUUCAGCCUCUCGUGUCCACGGCGGCCAACGUGUUCACACCUGGCAAACGUGAGCCGAUCGUUGUUGCUGGCACCGGCAGCACAACACCGAUCCCCACGGCGGGGCAGCGCGAGGGCAGCAGCGGCAGCAGCAGCGGUAGCGGUGCACCGAUGCUAGGCUACAGCCACCUGAAGCCGCUGAAGCAGACGCUGUCCGGCGACGGUGAGGAUAACGAGAAGAGCGCUGGCGCUGACACAGAGCCAGGGAUUUUGAGUGGCAGUGACGGGUCCAUCUCCGCGUCUGCUGCCGACGGCUCCGAGGCGGCAUCGGACAGCAGCUCCGCCGAGGGCGACACAUCGGCGCCGCCCUGUCCGCCUCUGUGGGGCGGACAGCGUCCCUUGCCGGUGCCACCGUCGAAGGCGACGUCCGACAGCUUCACGCCGCGGUUUCCACUGGAAGCGCGACCGGAAUAUUCAGCAGCGGGUGCAGCGUCUCAACGCACCGGCGGAGAGGCGGCACGAGGAGUCGCUAGCGAGAACGAGAGCGGCGAGGAUGCUGUUGUGGAGGUGCGGGCACGCGUCAGCGACGGUGUCUGGAAGCACCACAAGCCCGAGACGGCGUGGCAGCGCGGUGUGCUCGUGCAGCGACCGUCACCGGUACCUAUCCCUGCCGCCUCCGUGGACGUCUUCGCUCGCGCGUGCGUUCCUCUUAUUGAGGAGUACCUGCAUCUGUGGGUGCGACUGACACACGAAGACGACGCGACGCUGCGCACCGCAGCGCAGUACGUGCUCGACAUCCGCGAAGCCGAAGCAGAGGCGCCAGCUACGCAGAGCGCCAACGGUGGCCCCGAGGGCGGCGAUGAAGCUAGUUGUGCGGUACAAACUCGGCGAGGGCGCCUGGUGCAACGUCGCUACAGCAGCGCACUGAGAGGCGGAGGAGGAGCAACAGCGGCAGCGUCCACGUGGUGGCGGCAGCGGCGUCUGCAAUGCACCGCCCGUGCGAUGGCGCUCGUGGCUCGUCAGCUUCUCACCACGGCGGUGCUUCGGGGCAGCAUGAGCGAGUACGGGCAGCUGAUGUGGGACCUCUCCCUAUCAGGGUGGGCGCCCUCAAAGGCGGCAGACCACGAUUCGGCUUUUGGCAGCGGUCUCCGCGCAACGGACCCUAUCCGCAGAGGCGUGGCGAAGGCGCGCGCGGCGCAGCGGCACUGUGCCGCCUAUGACGACAGCGAUGACGCGCGAGCGGCACGCCUAAGCCGUGGUUGCUCCGCCGCCGUGCUCUCUGCAAGCAACGUUGACGCGAUUCUCGCCGCUGCGCAGACACGAUCUAACAGGACUUUGGCGAGCAGCGCGGAUGGCACAGUAACCGCAUGGCCCGUGGCUGCGAGUACUGCUUCGAUGCGCUCUGCGAUGCCCUUCACGUUCACGCAGGAAAAGGCAGGUCUAGGCUACGCGAAGGACACAUGCGAGGCCGCCUUGGACGAAGCCUUGAACACCGUCUUCAGCUGCGCCGUUGGAGCAGUGACGCUGCCCGCCCGCGACUCACUCGCAGCUUUACUCUCCAGUGCGGUCGACGUGUCGCUCGACUCUGCCGGCGCUUGCAGCCGCUCCCGCCGCACCUGCACAGCGGCAGCGCUUCAGCUCACCAGCAUCUACAUCUGGGUGAGCACCGAGAGCUACAGUGACCGCGAGUGCCCUGCCACGCCGGCAGCCGUAGCCAGCACCGGCGCGGCGGACGCGGCGCUGUUUGCUCGCCUGUUUCAGAAUGAAAGGGAGCGGUGGCUCGUGUCCGUGAUGCUUCCGGCAACCGCAUGCGCGGCAUUCGAGGUGUUCGGUGAUGUGGAUCACCGAAGCGAUGAUGAUGAGCAAGCAUCGCGAGGGCAGCCCAACGCCAGCCGACGGAGCGGGAAGCGUCGUCGCAGCAGCGCGCAGCACAGCCAUGUCGGCGACAACACGCGCAGUGUCCUAUGGCUGCGCGAAGUGGGCACUGACCCGCACACCGCGUCGGCGUUCCCUCCAACCCCGCUUGCGGCGCGGCUGUUUCAACGCGAUCAUUUCGCAGACGUGCAGGUGGUGCGCUCCGCAGUGAUGUCCUCCAGGCACAGCGUCGGCGCUGCGGCCCAUGGGAGCAGCGCACUGCCGCUCAUGACACGUAUCGCCCUCUACGGCUGCGACACGCACACGCUGCCGCGCUUGCGUGUGCGGCGCGAUGGCGGGGUGCGGCUUGCGCAGCAGCACAGCGGCUUCUCGACGGAUGACGGCCACGCAAAGGUUGAGCAGGUGAAAGCCUCGCCGGACUCCACGCGAGCGCUUGCGAUGUCCCAUGCUCACUACACGGCCCUCCUCACCGUCGACAUCGCAGAACCGGGGUACAUGGCGAAGGCGCGGCGUGCGUUGGCAGCGGUCGUGGCAAGUCACGUCGGGUACACGACGACUGCAUCUGCGCGUGGCGCGGCGACGGCGAUGGAGUGGAACGGUCACUGGGAGGGGGUGCCGGAGCAGAACUGCGUGGAGGGAAUUGUUUUGUGCCUCCUGAGCUCGCCCGCACAGUUGGCGGGCACUGCCUCCAUCGUUGCGGAGCUCGAGGGCAUGUUCUCAGACCUUUGGCAUGACCGGCACGGCGCAGGCGAGAGGCGCAAGACUAGUAUCAUCGCCGCAGCUUCCGCGCCGGCUGUCGUGGGCGUUGAGAUCGUGUACGGGGAUGCAGAGGGGGCGAAGGCAGCCAUGAAGAAGGGCAUGCGGACGCUCCUGUCCAUUUACGCGCAGCAGGCAAUGGCUGCGCUGGACAGCGACAGCUGAUACACGCACCUAAUCCAGCACCUAUUCGGUCUCUUUC
rnacentral:misc_RNA from 1 species